rnacentral:rRNA from 1 species
AAGACCCGUGCCCACAGUUGCCAGCAUGUCCUCCGGGAUGGUGGGGACACUGUUGGGACCGCCUCUGCUAAAGAGGAGGAAGGAAUGGGCAACGGUAGGUCAGCAUGCCCCGAAUUAUCCGGGCUACACGCGGGCUACAAUGGUCAGGACAAUGGGUAUCGACACCGAGAGGUGAAGGCAAUCUCUUAAACCUGUCCUUAGUUCGGAUUGUGGGCUGCAACUCGCCCACAUGAAGCUGGAAUCCGUAGUAAUCGCGUCUCAAAAUGGCGCGGUGAAUAU